UGGGGGGACCAUCCUCCAAGGCUAAAUACUCCUGACUGACCGAUAGUGAACCAGUACCGUGAGGGAAAGGCGAAAAGAACCCCGGCGAGGGGAGUGAAAAAGAACCUGAAACCGUGUACGUACAAGCAGUGGGAGCACGCUUAGGCGUGUGACUGCGUACCUUUUGUAUAAUGGGUCAGCGACUUAUAUUCUGUAGCAAGGUUAACCGAAUAGGGGAGCCGAAGGGAAACCGAGUCUUAACUGGGCGUUAAGUUGCAGGGUAUAGACCCGAAACCCGGUGAUCUAGCCAUGGGCAGGUUGAAGGUUGGGUAACACUAACUGGAGGACCGAACCGACUAAUGUUGAAAAAUUAGCGGAUGACUUGUGGCUGGGGGUGAAAGGCCAAUCAAACCGGGAGAUAGCUGGUUCUCCCCGAAAGCUAUUUAGGUAGCGCCUCGUGAAUUCAUCUCCGGGGGUAGAGCACUGUUUCGGCAAGGGGGUCAUCCCGACUUACCAACCCGAUGCAAACUGCGAAUACCGGAGAAUGUUAUCACGGGAGACACACGGCGGGUGCUAACGUCCGUCGUGAAGAGGGAAACAACCCAGACCGCCAGCUAAGGUCCCAAAGUCAUGGUUAAGUGGGAAACGAUGUGGGAAGGCCCAGACAGCCAGGAUGUUGGCUUAGAAGCAGCCAUCAUUUAAAGAAAGCGUAAUAGCUCACUGGUCGAGUCGGCCUGCGCGGAAGAUGUAACGGGGCUAAACCAUG
rnacentral:rRNA from 1 species